rnacentral:rRNA from 1 species
AAAUUGAAGAGUUUGAUCAUGGCUCAGAUUGAACGCUGGCGGCAGGCCUAACACAUGCAAGUCGAACGGUAACAGGAAGCAGCUUGCUGCUUCGCUGACGAGUGGCGGACGGGUGAGUAAUGUCUGGGAAACUGCCUGAUGGAGGGGGAUAACUACUGGAAACGGUGGCUAAUACCGCAUAACGUCGCAAGACCAAAGAGGGGGACCUUCGGGCCUCUUGCCAUCAGAUGUGCCCAGAUGGGAUUAGCUAGUUGGUGAGGUAACGGCUCACCAAGGCGACGAUCCCUAGCUGGUCUGAGAGGAUGACCAGCCACACUGGAACUGAGACACGGUCCAGACUCCUACGGGAGGCAGCAGUGGGGAAUAUUGCACAAUGGGCGCAAGCCUGAUGCAGCCAUGCCGCGUGUAUGAAGAAGGCCUUCGGGUUGUAAAGUACUUUCAGCGGGGAGGAAGGUGUUGUGGUUAAUAACCACAGCAAUUGACGUUACCCGCAGAAGAAGCACCGGCUAACUCCGUGCCAGCAGCCGCGGUAAUACGGAGGGUGCAAGCGUUAAUCGGAAUUACUGGGCGUAAAGCGCACGCAGGCGGUCUGUCAAGUCGGAUGUGAAAUCCCCGGGCUCAACCCGGGAACUGCAUUCGAAACUGGCAGGCUUGAGUCUUGUAGAGGGGGGUAGAAUUCCAGGUGUAGCGGUGAAAUGCGUAGAGAUCUGGAGGAAUACCGGUGGCGAAGGCGGCCCCCUGGACAAAGACUGACGCUCAGGUGCGAAAGCGUGGGGAGCAAACAGGAUUAGAUACCCCGGUAGUCCACGCCGUAAACGAUGUCUACUUGGAGGUUGUGCCCUUGAGGCGUGGCUUCCGGAGCUAACGCGUUAAGUAGACCGCCUGGGGAGUACGGCCGCAAGGUUAAAACUCAAAUGAAUUGACGGGGGCCCGCACAAGCGGUGGAGCAUGUGGUUUAAUUCGAUGCAACGCGAAGAACCUUACCUGGUCUUGACAUCCACAGAACUUUCCAGAGAUGGAUUGGUGCCUUCGGGAACUGUGAGACAGGUGCUGCAUGGCUGUCGUCAGCUCGUGUUGUGAAAUGUUGGGUUAAGUCCCGCAACGAGCGCAACCCUUAUCCUUUGUUGCCAGCGGUUAGGCCGGGAACUCAAAGGAGACUGCCAGUGAUAAACUGGAGGAAGGUGGGGAUGACGUCAAGUCAUCAUGGCCCUUACGACCAGGGCUACACACGUGCUACAAUGGCGCAUACAAAGAGAAGCGACCUCGCGAGAGCAAGCGGACCUCAUAAAGUGCGUCGUAGUCCGGAUUGGAGUCUGCAACUCGACUCCAUGAAGUCGGAAUCGCUAGUAAUCGUGGAUCAGAAUGCCACGGUGAAUACGUUCCCGGGCCUUGUACACACCGCCCGUCACACCAUGGGAGUGGGUUGCAAAAGAAGUAGGUAGCUUAACCUUCGGGAGGGCGCUUACCACUUUGUGAUUCAUGACUGGGGUGAAGUCGUAACAAGGUAACCGUAGGGGAACCUGCGGUUGGAUCACCUCCUUA